rnacentral:misc_RNA from 1 species
GAUGAAGAACGUAGCGAAAUGCGAUAAGUAAUGUGAAUUGCAGAAUUCAGUGAAUCAUCGAGUCUUUGAACGCACAUUGCCCCCCCUGGUAUUCCGGGGGGCAUGCCUGUCCGAGCGUCAUUGCUGCCCCCAAGCACGGCUUGUGUGUUGGGCCCCCGUCCCCGGUUUCCCCCGGGGACGGGCCCGAAAGGCAGCGGCGGCACCGCGUCCGGUCCUCGAGCGUAUGGGGCUUUGUCACCCGCUCUGUAGGCCCGGCCGGCGCCAGCCGACACCCAACUUUAUUUCUAAGGUUGACCUCGGAUCAGGUAGGGAUACCCGCUGAACUUAAGCAUAUCAAUAAGCGGAGGA